CGGGGGAUAACUACUCGAAAGAGUGGCUAAUACCGCAUACGCCCUACGGGGGAAAGGGGGGGAUCGCAAGACCUCUCACUAUUGGAGCGGCCGAUAUCGGAUUAGCUAGUUGGUGGGGUAAAGGCUCACCAAGGCAACGAUCCGUAGCUGGUUUGAGAGGACGACCAGCCACACUGGGACUGAGACACGGCCCAGACUCCUACGGGAGGCAGCAGUGGGGAAUUUUGGACAAUGGGGGAAACCCUGAUCCAGCCAUCCCGCGUGUAUGAUGAAGGCCUUCGGGUUGUAAAGUACUUUUGGCAGAGAAGAAAAGGCAUCCCCUAAUACGGGAUGCUGCUGACGGUAUCUGCAGAAUAAGCACCGGCUAACUACGUGCCAGCAGCCGCGGUAAUACGUAGGGUGCAAGCGUUAAUCGGAAUUACUGGGCGUAAAGCGUGUGUAGGCGGUUCGGAAAGAAAGAUGUGAAAUCCCAGGGCUCAACCUUGGAACUGCAUUUUUAACUGCCGAGCUAGAGUAUGUCACAGGGGGGUAGAAUUCCCCCUGUAGCAGUGAUUAUGCGUAAUAUGUGGAGGAAUACCGAUGGCUAAGGCACCCCCCUGGGAUAUUACUGACGCUCAUACACGAACGCGUGUGGAGCAAACAGGAUUAUAUACCCUGGUAGUCCACGCCCUAAACGA
rnacentral:rRNA from 1 species